rnacentral:rRNA from 1 species
CAGUCGUGGGGCAGCGCGGGUAGCAAUACCUGGCGGCGACCGGCAAACGGGUGCGGAACACGUACGGAACCUUCCUUUAAGCGGGGAAUAGCCCAGGGAAACUUGGAUUAAUACCCCAUAAGAAUGUAGAGUGGCAUCACUUAGCAUUUAAAGCUACGGCACUUAAAGAUGGGCGUGCGGCUGAUUAGGUAGUUGGCGGGGUAAUAGCCCACCAAGCCGACGAUCAGUAACUGGUGUGAGAGCACGACCAGUCACACGGGCACUGAGACACGGGCCCGACUCCUACGGGAGGCAGCAGCAAGGAAUAUUGGUCAAUGGACGCAAGUCUGAACCAGCCAUGCCGCGUGGAGGAUGAAGGCCCUCUGGGUUGUAAACUUCUUUUAUUUGGGAAGAAACCGGACUUUUCUAAGGCCGUUGACGGUACCAGAUGAAUAAGCACCGGCUAACUC